rnacentral:rRNA from 1 species
UACGUAGGGUGCAAGCGUUAAUCGGAAUUACUGGGCGUAAAGCGUGCGCAGGCGGUUUUGUAAGUCUGUCGUGAAAGCCCCGGGCUCAACCUGGGAAUCGCGAUGGAGACUGCAAGGCUUGAAUCUGGCAGAGGGGGGUAGAAUUCCACGGGUAGCAGUGAAAUGCGUAGAGAUGUGGAGGAACACCGAUGGCGAAGGCAGCCCCCUGGGUCAAGAUUGACGCUCAAGCACGAAAGCGUGGGGAGCAAACAGG